GCCUAUAGUAACAGCAUGUAAUAUUUAUAGUGAGUGGCACAGCGUUCCUUUUGUUUCGGCAGUGAGAAUGUAGUGUUCAUGCGUCUGUCCUCAUGUUUACGUGUCUUCAUGCAGGGCUCUGCUUCACAUUAUAUAUAUAUAUGUGUGUGUGUGUGUGUGUGUGUGUAUGUGUGUGAGUGUGUGCAUGUGCGUGUAUGUGUGUGUGUGU